UACAGAGGUGGCAAGCGUUGCUCGGAAUUACUGGGCGUAAAGGGCGCGUAGGCGGCCUACUAAGUCAGACGUGAAAUCCCCCGGCUUAACCUGGGAACUGCGUCUGAUACUGGAAGGCUUGAGGAUGGGAGAGGGAUGUAGAAUUCCAGGUGUAGCGGUGAAAUGCGUAGAUAUCUGGAGGAACACCGGUGGCGAAGGCGGCAUCCUGGACCGGUAUUGACGCUGAUGCGCGAAAGCCAGGGGAGCAAACGGG
rnacentral:rRNA from 1 species